UACGUAGGGUGCAAGCGUUGUCCGGAAUUAUUGGGCGUAAAGAGCUCGUAGGCGGUCUGUUGCGUCGGCUGUGAAAACCCGGGGCUCAACUCCGGGCCUGCAGUCGAUACGGGCUGGCUUGAGUGCGGUAGGGGAGACUGGAAUUCCUGGUGUAGCGGUGAAAUGCGUAGAUAUAGGAAGGAAUACCAGUGGCGAAGGCGGCCUCCUGGAUCGAUACUGACGCUGAGGCGCGAAAGCGUGGGAGCAAACAGG
rnacentral:rRNA from 1 species